rnacentral:rRNA from 1 species
AUUGAACGCUGGCGGCAUGCCUUACACAUGCAAGUCGAACGGUAACAGGUCUUCGGAUGCUGACGAGUGGCGAACGGGUGAGUAAUACAUCGGAACGUGCCCGAUCGUGGGGGAUAACUACUCGAAAGAGUAGCUAAUACCGCAUACGAUCUACGGAUGAAAGCGGGGGAUCUUCGGACCUCGUGCGGACGGAGCGGCCGAUGGCAGAUUAGGGAGUUGGUGGGAUAAAAGCUUACCAAGCCGACGAUCUGUAGCUGGUCUGAGAGGACGACCAGACACACUGGGACUGCGACACGGCGCAGACUCCGACGGGAGGCAGCAGUGGGGAAUUUUGGACAAUGGGCGAAAGCCUGAUCCAGCAAUGCAGCGUGCAGGAUGAAAGCCUUCGGGUUGUAAACUGCUUUUGUACGGAACGAAAAGACUCCUUCUAAUACGGGGGGUCCAUGACGGUACCGUAAGAAUAAGCACCGGCUAACUACGUGCCAGCCGCCGCCGUAAAAC